rnacentral:tRNA from 1 species
CCGGGACGGCGUGGUCGGCACCGGCUCCUCCGACGAGCUGCGCCGGCGGGCCUGGCGGCUCGCGUUCUACGCCCGGGUCCAGCGC